rnacentral:rRNA from 2 species
AGUCGAGCGGACCGACGGGAGCUUGCUCCCUUAGGUCAGCGGCGGACGGGUGAGUAACACGUGGGUAACCUGCCUGUAAGACUGGGAUAACUCCGGGAAACCGGGGCUAAUACCGGAUGCUUGAUUGAACCGCAUGGUUCAAUCAUAAAAGGUGGCUUUUAGCUACCACUUACAGAUGGACCCGCGGCGCAUUAGCUAGUUGGUGAGGUAACGGCUCACCAAGGCGACGAUGCGUAGCCGACCUGAGAGGGUGAUCGGCCACACUGGGACUGAGACACGGCCCAGACUCCUACGGGAGGCAGCAGUAGGGAAUCUUCCGCAAUGGACGAAAGUCUGACGGAGCAACGCCGCGUGAGUGAUGAAGGUUUUCGGAUCGUAAAACUCUGUUGUUAGGGAAGAACAAGUACCGUUCGAAUAGGGCGGUACCUUGACGGUACCUAACCAGAAAGCCACGGCUAACUACGUGCCAGCAGCCGCGGUAAUACGUAGGUGGCAAGCGUUGUCCGGAAUUAUUGGGCGUAAAGCGCGCGCAGGCGGUUUCUUAAGUCUGAUGUGAAAGCCCCCGGCUCAACCGGGGAGGGUCAUUGGAAACUGGGGAACUUGAGUGCAGAAGAGGAGAGUGGAAUUCCACGUGUAGCGGUGAAAUGCGUAGAGAUGUGGAGGAACACCAGUGGCGAAGGCGACUCUCUGGUCUGUAACUGACGCUGAGGCGCGAAAGCGUGGGGAGCGAACAGGAUUAGAUACCCUGGUAGUCCACGCCGUAAACGAUGAGUGCUAAGUGUUAGAGGGUUUCCGCCCUUUAGUGCUGCAGCAAACGCAUUAAGCACUCCGCCUGGGGAGUACGGUCGCAAGACUGAAACUCAAAGGAAUUGACGGGGGCCCGCACAAGCGGUGGAGCAUGUGGUUUAAUUCGAAGCAACGCGAAGAACCUUACCAGGUCUUGACAUCCUCUGACAACCCUAGAGAUAGGGCUUCCCCUUCGGGGGCAGAGUGACAGGUGGUGCAUGGUUGUCGUCAGCUCGUGUCGUGAGAUGUUGGGUUAAGUCCCGCAACGAGCGCAACCCUUGAUCUUAGUUGCCAGCAUUCAGUUGGGCACUCUAAGGUGACUGCCGGUGACAAACCGGAGGAAGGUGGGGAUGACGUCAAAUCAUCAUGCCCCUUAUGACCUGGGCUACACACGUGCUACAAUGGGCAGAACAAAGGGCAGCGAAGCCGCGAGGCUAAGCCAAUCCCACAAAUCUGUUCUCAGUUCGGAUCGCAGUCUGCAACUCGACUGCGUGAAG